UUUUUUCUCGGCAAAGUUUAGAGCGUAAAACACGGCAAUAUAAAAAGUUGUGAGUUUCUGUUUUACGAAGCUACGCGCGUCACAGAGGCGAGGAGCGUUCGGUGUUCGACGCUUGAUUUUAUGAGUUUUCGCAAGGUUAUCGGUAAAAACGUGCCCUCUGCCAGAUAGAUAACGAAAAUAACGCGCUUUGAAACAAUGCAAUUUAACCACGCACCUGAUACGCUAUCGGCCUGCAAAAGGAGCAUGAUAACUCAAUGCGAAGGUUGAAGAUAACGUUGCUGGCUGACAACAAAAUAUAAAUGCUCUUUCGAAAUUCAGUCUUGGUUAACGCGAUGAGCGAACAGCACGUUCUACGUAUCGGUGAACACCUACGGACUUCCUUCUGCAAAAUAGCUAUGAUGCCAUUGCUUCGAAUUCUCUUUUACGCUCUCGGUCUUGAAUCCAAGAGAACCGAGCAAACGGCGAAACUGGACCUUGAGGCCCCGACGACGUGGACACUGAGCUGUACUCUGUGUAGUUCUUGUGCUAUAACAUUUUAAGUUAACGCGAAACAGCCAAACGUGGGUCCGGGAGGUGAGGAUCGAGGAUAUCGGAGUAUCGAGCGGUGAAACGUUGAAGCAUUAGGAAUGUU
rnacentral:misc_RNA from 1 species